AUUGAACGCUGGCGGCAGGCCUACCACAUGCAAGUCGAGCGAGCGGCGGACCGGCGAGGAAUGUAUGGGGACUGCCCGUUAGCGGGGGAGAACUACUGGAAACGGUCGCUAAUACCGCCUACGACCGGAGAACCCAUAUGGGAUUAGCUCUUAGGUGAGGUAAUGGCUCACCUAGGCGACGAUCCCUAGCUGGUCUGCGCGGAUGAACAGCCACACUGGGACUGAGACACGGCCCAGAAUCCUACGGAGGCAGCAGUGGGGAAUAUUGCACAAUGGGCGCAAGCCUGAUGCAGCCAUGCCGCGUGUAUGAAGAAGGCCCUAGGGUUGUAAAGUACUUUCAGUCGGGAGGCGUUACCGACAGAAGAAGCACCGGCUAACUCCGUGCCAGCAGCCGCGGUAAUAC
rnacentral:rRNA from 1 species